GACGAACGCUGGCGGCGUGCUUAACACAUGCAAGUCGAACGAAGUGGCGCACGGGUGAGUAACGCGUAAUCAACCUGCCCUUCAGAGGGGGACCACAGUUGGAAACGACUGCUACUACCGCAUAAUGAAGGAGGGGAUUGCGUCGGAUUCGCUCGUUGGAGGGGUAACGGCCCACCAAGGCGAUGAUCAGUAGCCGGUCUGGGAGGAUGAACGGCCACAUUGGGACUGGGAAACGGCCCAGACUCCGACGGGAGGCAGCAGUGGGGAAUCUUCCGCAAUGGACGGAAGUCUGACGGAGCAACGCCGCGUGAGUGAUGACGGCCUUCGGGUUGUAAAGCUCUGUUAAGCGGGACGCGGUACCGGAAUAGAAAGCCACGGCUAACUACGUGCCAGCAGCCGCGGUAAUUC
rnacentral:rRNA from 1 species